GGGAGAGCUCAAAACAAGCUCAUACAGAGACAGGCAGUUGGAGCAUAAUACAAUGAAGAUGAAGGCUCUGGUUUCACUGUUGUUGACAGUGAAUGUGGCCCUGGGUGUACCACAUGGGUUAAUGGAUGAAUGGGUCGCAGCACCAAAACCAGUUCUGCCACUUGACAGUCAAGGCACAGUGGGACAGGGAAAACCAGCUGGCUGGAACCCGGAGACAAUUGUGGAGAGAAUCCCAUUGACACCUGCUGACCUGAGCCCACUGGU